rnacentral:rRNA from 1 species
GACGAACGCUGGCGGCGUGCUUAACACAUGCAAGUCGAGCGGUAAGGCCCUUUCGGGGGUACACGAGCGGCGAACGGGUGAGUAACACGUGGGUGACCUGCCCUCAGCUCUGGGAUAAGCCCGGGAAACUGGGUCUAAUACUGGAUAUGACUCCAUGACGCAUGUUGUGGGGUGGAAAGCCUUGUGCGGCUGAGGAUGGGCCCGCGGCCUAUCAGCUUGGUUGGUGGGGGAUGGCCUACCAAGGCGACGACGGGUAGCCGGCCUGAGAGGGCGACCGGCCACACUGGGACUGAGACACGGCCCAGACUCCUACGGGAGGCAGCAGUGGGGAAUCUUGCGCAAUGGGCGAAAGCCUGACGCAGCGACGCCGCGUGAGGGAUGACGGCCUGGUGUAAC